rnacentral:tRNA from 1 species
GGUGGGAUGACAGAGCGGCUAUGUGUCCGGCUGCAGACCGGUUUAAGGGGGUUCGACUCCCCCUCCCACCA